UACGUAGGGGGCAAGCGUUGUCCGGAUUUAUUGGGCGUAAAGCGCACGCAGGCGGUCUCUUAAGCUUCGAGUGACAGGUCAGGGCUUAACCCUGGCAGGCCUUGGAAAACUGGGGACUUGAGGGCUUCAGAGGGACGCGGAAUUCCAGGUGGAGCGGUGAAAUGCGUAGAUAUCGUAAGGAAGACCAGUGGCGAAGGCGGGUCUCUGGACAGUUCCUGACGCUGAGGCACGAAGGUCAGGGGAGCAAACGGG
rnacentral:rRNA from 1 species